rnacentral:rRNA from 1 species
CCUACGGGAGGCAGCAGUAGGGAAUAUUGGACAAUGGGCGCAAGCCUGAUCCAGCAAUGCCGCGUGUGUGAAGAAGGCCUGCGGGUUGUAAAGCACUUUCAGUGGGGAAGACAAGCUCGAGGUUAAUACCCUCGGGUCUCGACGUUACCCACAGAAGAAGCACCGGCCAACUCCGUGCCAGCAGCCGCGGUAAUACGGAGGGUGCGAGCGUUAAUCGGAAUUACUGGGCGUAAAGCGCACGCAGGUGGCUGGGUCAGUCGGAUGUGAAAUCCCCGGGCUUAACCUGGGAAUUGCAUUCGAUGCUGCCCGGCUAGAGUAUGGGAGAGGGAAGUGGAAUUCCCGGUGUAGCGGUGAAAUGCAUAGAUAUCGGGAGGAACACCAGUGGCGAAGGCGGCUUCCUGGCCCAAUACUGACACUCAGGUGCGAAAGCGUGGGGAGCGAACAGGAUUAGAUACCCUGGUAGUCCACGCCGUAAACGAUGUGCACUAGGCGUAGGGUCCGUUAGGGCUCUGUGCCGUAGCUAACGUGUUAAGUGCACCGCCUGGGGAGUAUGCUCGCAAGAGUGAAACUCAAAGGAAUUGACGG